UGCAGUCGUUGCACAGGCACUUUGGUGACUCUAGAUAACCACGGGCCGAUCGCACGUCCCCGUGACGGCGCCGACGCAUUCGGAUGUCUGCCCUAUCAACUUUCUAUGGUACUUUCUGCCCCUACCAUGGUGACCACGGGUAACGGGGAAUCGGGGUUUGAUUCUGGAGAGAGAGCCUGAGAAACGGCUACCACAUCCAAGGAAGGCAGCAGGCAUGCAAAUUACCCACUCCCGACGCGGGGAAGUAGUGACG